UGCCAGCCGCCGCGGUAAUACGGAGGGUGCAAGCGUUGCUCGGAAUCACUGGGCGUAAAGCGUACGCAGGCGGCACGUUAAGUCGGGUGUGAAAUCCCGGGGCUCAACCCCGGAACUGCAUCCGAAACUGGCGAGCUUGAAUAUAGGAGAGGGAAGCGGAAUUCCUGGUGUAGAGGUGAAAUUCGUAGAUAUCAGGAGGAACACCAGUGGCGAAAGCGGCUUCCUGGCCUAAUAUUGACGCUCAUGUACGAAAGCGUGGGGAGCAAACAGGAUUAGAUA
rnacentral:rRNA from 1 species